rnacentral:lncRNA from 1 species
CAUAAAUUAUUAUGUUCGGUUGAGUUAACACUAUAAUCCUAACCUAACUAAUCCUAUGGGCCCCCUUGGGAUAACUCCCUUCACAAAAUUGAGAUUAUAUUGUGGGCCUACAAUAAGUUAACCCCAAUACGCAUAAGAGCACCAAACAUGAGAUUAAAGUAGAAUUUAAAAAAAUAGUCUGACUCCCACUUUUAAUCCUCUUGCCAAACACACCCAUAAUACUAGAAAUAAUCUUUACAAAAAUCUUGACACAAAAUUACUAAUUCAUUGUAUCGUUUCUGCUUGAUUGAUAGAAAAUUGAUUGUAGUUUUAGAAUGGCAAAAUACCAAUAGCGACAACUGUUGUACAAAUUUUAAUGUACUCGCAAGCGCACGAAUCUAUUGUAGAAUAAACUAAUGGUGACGAGUGUCGAUCCCAUGAGGAGGUGGAUUUUAAUUAUGUAUAGAAUUAAUUUUGUAAAUGGGUGGUUGGAUUUGUGGUGGAAGUGAUUUGGAAUAUGCUAAAACUUAAAUUAAAAUGGCAAGAAUAAAUUCUAAAAUUGGAAUUGAAAUAGCGAGAAUAAAUUGAAAAGAAUUUUAUUGAAAUGACGUACUUGGGUAUCUGGAUCCGUAUCAACAUGCACCAUGGGCUAAAUAUUUCUUAUUAAUACCAAUUAAAUCAUGAGGGGGGAAUCCACACCUCAUGAACCACACUCUAAUCAAUAUAGUGCUAAGGGUUUAUCGUGCCAAAUAAUAAUAACCUUAUACUAGAGAGCCGGUGUAACCAAGGCGGUAUCUAGACAAGAUUAUUAUUAUUUGUCGACGAGAAGUCAAAACAUCCACAAAAACUAGAGGGGAAGAGAAAAUAAAUUUACCAAAUUAAGCCCAUAACACAUGUUGAGACUUCACCUUUAACCCAAGCUUGAAAGAAAAUUAGCUACUCAUAAUUGAACUAGGGGCAAAAUGGAAAUUUAUUAAAAUACGUAGAAAAUACAAGAUGGAGAAGGAAUUAUAGAAAAUGGAUCCCAAAAAUGGAUUCAGAGAUAUCAAAUUAGGGGGGAGAGGCCCCCUUUUUAUAGAUACAUGGAGUAAAUCAUGGCCAUCGGAUUAAAAACAGUUUGGACGCUCAGGAUUGUGCCACGUCAUCAGUCAACAGUACGCGGUUUGACCACGUGGAUGAACAGUAACACGGUUUGACCCGGGUUGAACAGUACCGCGGUUUGGUUGAAAAUAAUCCUGUGUGAUGCAUGUACCGUACGCGAGAUUUUUGGUCUACUGAUAUACUGUCACGUCACCAUCAACAGUACAUAAGAAUUUUAGUAUCAGUCAAUGCCACAUCAUCGGUCAAUGCCAAGUCAUCGAUCCGUCUAUGUGAACAGUGUCGUGAACAGUAACGUAGACAGUACCGUACACGUGAAUAGUACCGUACAUGUGAACAGUUCAUUUUUCCUUUUAUGCUCCUCCUAAGGUUUUCGAUCGUCCUGAAUUCAAAAGUGAUGUCCGUUUUGCCGUCUGAUCUCUCAUUUAUUGUGAAAUAACUAUAAUGCCCCUAAAAUACAUAAAAUACUUAAUUAAAAUAAAACACACGUAAUUAAAUCACAAGAAGGUUAAAUACAUAAAAGUAAGGGUUGUUAGUAAGACUUGAAAUGUAAAAUGACGGUUUUCUCCUUUAUAAAUAUGUAUUUUCUAACACUCAACACACCCCCCAACCAGCUUAUUGCUAGUCCCUAGCAAAUAAAAGCGAAAAUAAAAUUCAAAUUUAAAAUGAUUAUUUAUUUAUUUAUUUAGAAACACUCGUGUUUAUUCAAUCAGAUGAAUGAUAGCAAUCAAAUAAAAGUAUAAGCAUUAUCUCCAGUCUAAAGCAACAUCACACCCACAUCAACCAUCCACAUGAAUCAGCACAGUAGACUUUGUUAUAGUUACUUUCAAGAAUGACAUGUCAAACCCCAAAAUCUCACUGGAAGUAAUGACACUCUCACAAAGAAAUUAAAACCAAUAAAAAUAGUCACUCCAAUGAAUGGUAAUUGAGAGAGAAAAUAAUAAAGAAGUGAUAUCACAUACUCUCACCAAGAUGAAAUAAAUAUGCCCUCAGCUUAGAAAUAAUACGAUCUCAAGUCAAACAAAAAUGCUAGUCAACCCAAUUUAUUUAUCUUUUUUUUAUUUUUCUUUUAUUUAUUUUUUUUAUUAUGCACCACUACAUCUUUUUAGCCCACAUAACUAGCUUGUACUUCAGAUUAUAGUUCCCUAAAAUCAAGAAGGACUUUUAUUAGGAUGUAACAUAGGCUAGGGACAUGGUUAACAAAAAAGGGAAAUAAGGGAAAUAAGGGAAACAAAGUAUAUGUUUGAGAAAAAUGCAGAAGAUUUUUUUUUUUUUUAGAAGUUGCAAGGUGGAUUUCACCUAUUAUUGUUGUUAUUUUUUUUCUUCUUAUUUUUGAAACAAUUUUUUUUUUGCUUUUGCUUGGCACAACGUCACUAAAUAAAAUAAUUAUUUACAUUUUUCUCAAACAUAAAUAGGUGAUGAAACUUAUAAGAUAUUGGGUAAUACUCCAAAUCGGAGUGGGUCAAGAUGAUAAGUUUGACAAAGAAAAGUUUUUUUUUUUAAAGACUCAAAAGGGUUAACUAUGGAUAUUUGAUAAAAGGGAUAGAUAGAAAGGCUCAAAUGGAUCAAAGAUGACAUUUCCAUCGUUUUUUAGGGCUCUAAAUAAUCUUCCAUAUCUACUAAUUAGAUGGGCCUCCAAAUGUAGCAACACACAUUUUUUUCUUUUUUUUUAAUUUUAUAAAUUUUUUUUAAAGGGUUAACUCAAAAGAAAUCUAGAGAUCGUGUAUACAAUAAUAAACUGUUAAGCUAUAUAAAGAAUGGGCAAAAGGGUUACUCUCCAAGAAAAAUGAUAGGCUCAAAAACUUACUUGGUACUUAUUAUGACAUGUUCAUUCCUUCAAGCAACUCAUAUUUGUCUCCGACAUCAACAUGUAGAAUAGCAAACAUAAUGUAAUAUCACUUAAGACCAAAGAUAAUACAAAUACUAAAGUUUGAAAUUAAUCAUGUCAUCUAAUGUUAAAACAAAUCACAUAUUUUUUUUUAAAACAACAUCCUACCCCCCAACCUAUUCUAAGCAUGAAAGGAAAAUAUGCAUGCAGAAAUAUGAAUAUGAUGCAGAAAAACUAAUUAGAAAAGUUACACUUAAAAUGAUAGAAAAAGAAAAUGGUUUUUUUUUAAAGGCUCAAAAGUUUGAAAAUGUAUAUUUAUAGAGGAGAAAGAAAAAGAAAAAUGAACACAAAAACUUAAUAAAGAAAAAGAAAAUGUCUGAAUUUUUUUUGUUUUUUUUUUUUGAAACGAUGAAGAUGCGUUUCUAGAGUCACUACACUCCAUAUUCAGCCAUCUUCAACACAAAAUGUUAGAAACAAUUAGUUUCUAUAACAAAAAAUCAGUAAAAACUUAACCAAGAUUCCACAAUUGUCGACUAUUCUCUCCCUCCAACCAGAAUGAAACAUUGUCCUCAAUGUUUGAAAGAAAAGAAGUAGAGUUUAGAAGACAUCACAUGGGUAGUACACACAGAAGAAAAUAUUUACAAGCGGAGAGUUAAAUCUAAUUUGUACUUCUUACUACGGCUAUUAUUACCAUCAUUAUUUGGACGCUCCAACACAAAGGUCCAGGGGUCUGACUCCGGUUUAUAAGCUUGUAAUAGAUCAAGUAGCUCAUUAGCAGUGUGAGCACAAAUAAAAAGUUUUUUCGCAUUGGAAGGAAUGGAAUAGUUUUUUAUUGCAUGGUUAAGAAAUGCAAUAAAGCCAUCAUAAAAAUUAUUGACAUUUAACAAACCGAUGAGUUUCUGGUGAAUGUGCAGAUGGGCCCAAGAUGCUAGUGUAAUAAGUGCCUAUAGUGUUGCAAGAUCUUCUGGAAGGAAAAUAAAAGUAUCAGCAUGAUUAAGCAUUUCAGUUAUUCUUUUUUGCAUACCUGAGACGACUAACUCUUCUCCAGUCGAUGAGUCAAAAAAACUGCCCAAAGGUUUUAGGACUCUUGGGAUGAUGCCUAACACUUGACUUCCUCUGACAAAAGCUGCUUCUGAGACCAUUUUUGAUAACCCUCGAUUACCUCCUCCAUACACCAAGUGUAAUUUUCUCACUGCUAUACUUCGACCAAGAUCUAUGGCUGCCUCAACGAACUCUUUAUAUUUGCCAUAGUUAAAUCCAGAAAGCACACAAAUGUUCUUGAAUUGUCUAUUGGGAGUAGCUGCCAUUGUGAUACUUCUCAAAAAUAAUUUGUGAGUGCUUGACAAAAAAGAAAUCACAUUUAAGAAUCUUGGUGACAGUGGAUCACAGCUGUGUAUGAGGUAACGUGUCAAUGUCAAAUACGCGUAAAGCACAUGGCUCGAGAGUAAAAAAAGGAAACAGUAAAAAUGAAAAAGUAAACAGUAAUAAAAUUAUUAAAGACAAGAAUACAAACAAUAAAACAACAGUGAAAUAAAAUAAUAGUAAAGUAAAAGGAUAUUUAUAGGUAGUUGCGACUGUGGCUCACAUCUUCCUCUAGUUUUACGUCCAGAAACGGCUUGAACGCCCUCUAUGGGUCGAGGAUAGGCUUCCCAUCCAGUUUUCUUAUAAACUGGCAAGCAUGGUCGUUUAUAGUCAGAUUCCCGAGACUAUAUCGUGCGUGCUCUGUCUGGAAUAAUGGCCAUAACUGGAGAAUCACUCCUUACACAUAUCCACUGGGAUGCGUUUCAAGAGACAGAAGGAUAUCAUCCAAUGACUCCUUAUUCAAGCCACCCCUAAUGAAUUGAAUCUUAUCUUCCCCGUUAUCAGACACCAUUACUAAAGAACAUGGGUUUUUAUCGCAACUCAUUCUGGCACACUUAUGACAAGCAACAUAAAUUCUUCGAGCUCGUCGUUUUCUUGCAUAAUUUCCUUUACCACAACCAGGCAUGUAUGCAAUAAAUUUUGAAGGUAACUCACCUGCCGAUCGUACUUUAGCCUCAAUUAACCAACGGAUGUCAGCAGGUAUGUUAUUCCUCAUGAGUAAUCGCAUGCGUUCGGACCGAGCUUUAUAGAUCGUAAGGAGGGCAUUCUGAGGAAGUGAAGGGAAUCGCUUGUGAAGCUUUGCUAGAAUCUCGUUUCUGUCCAUACCUUCGCCUCAGAUUAUCAGUUAUUAUGGGAAACUGAAGUAACCGACUUGAUUGUCACGGAGUACCGUUAUCCGCCACUUCACCGGGGUAACAAACUAAAGCACACAAACAGAAAAAUAAAUUAAAACACACAAAGAAAAUUAAAAUCGUCCUCUUAUUGAAUUUACCUCAAGCUCCAACUGGAUGUCGUAAACACUUCUCUCAAUGUCUCUGAGUUGGCUUUCUAAACCCUUAACAUAGGCUACUAACGCUGGUGGCUGUAGAGCCCAAAUGCGAUGUGUUUUACAAAAUUGAAUCUACCUUUUGAGAUGAGUUUUGACAUGUUGAAGUGGUUUAAGAAUGUUCAGGAGGAACGGUCUAAGUAAGGUACUCAUGAUUAAAAAUGAUAAGAAAAAACUUAAUAGUUAAACAAACACACUUAUGAAAAAAUAAUUUCAAUUAGCAAAAGAAUAAUAAAAAGAAAGAAAGAAAAAUCAAAUCAACGAAAAGAAAAAAAAUCAAUUCAAAUCUGGUGGGUCACUCAAAUUUAUUUUAGUGUUUUCUCCAUGUGGUUGGUACUCUAGAUAUGACUUUAGUCUUUGACCAUUAACUUUAAACGUGACACCGUUCUUUGGGUCCUUAAUUUCAAUUGCCCCAUGUGGAAAAACAGUAUGUACAAUAAAUAGGCUAGACCAACGAGAGCGUAACUUACCUGGGAAUAGGUGCAAGCGAGAAUUGAAUAAAAGUACUUUCUGACCUGGAGUGAACGAUUUUCUCAUAAUUUGGUUGUCAUGGAAGACUUUCAUUCGUUGCUUGUAAAUCUUGGCAUUUUCGUAUGCGCCAUUACGAAUUUCUUCAAGUUCUGCCAGCUGUAAUCUUCUUUCUGACCUGGCUUGCUGCAUGUCAAAAUUGAAUUUCUUGAUGGCCCAAUAUGCACGAUGCUCGAGUUCCACAGGUAGGUGGCAAGCUUUUCCAUACACUAGCCUGUAGGGUGACAUCCCAAUCGGGGUCUUGAAAGCCGUUCUAUAUGCCCAUAAUGCAUCAUCAAGUCUUAAUGACCAAUCUUUUCUGUCUAGCCUUACCGUCUUUUCUAAUAUGUGCUUUAUUUCUCGAUUGGAGAUCUCAACUUGGCCACUAGUUUGCGGAUGAUAUGGGGUCGCCACUUUGUGAGUGAUUGAAUACUUUGUCAAAAGAGUUUUGAAUGUUUUGUUACAAAAGUGGGCACCACCAUCACUGAUUAUUGCUCGAGGGAAUCCAAAGCGUGAAACAAUGUUGCUUUUCAAAAAUCCUAUCACCACCUUGUGAUCAUUGGUUCUACAUGGAAUUGCUUCUACCCAUUUUGAGACGUAGUCAACAGCAACCAAUAUGUAUUGAUGGCCAAAAGAAGGGGAAAAUGGUCCCAUGAAGUCGAUACCCCAUACGUCAAAAAUCUCAACCACUAAAAUUAGAUUUAGUGGCAUCAUGUUCCUUCGCGUAAUGCUCCCUAUUCGUUGACACCUAUCACAUGAAGAACAGAAAGUGUAGGUGUCUCGAAAUAUAGUUGGCCAAUAGAAACCACAUUGUAAAACUUUAGUUGCUGCUUUCUUAGCACUGAAAUGGCCUCCACAAGCUUGUUCAUGGCAGAAUGAAAGAAUAUUCUGAAUUUCAUUUUCUGGGACACAUCGUCUAACAAUUUAAUCCGCAUAAUACUUGAACAAAUACGGGUCAUCCCAAAAGAAAUUCUUUAUUUCUGUAAAGAAUUUAGCCUUGUCUUGCUUGGUCCAAUGCUCUGGAAGUUGACCUGUAAUAACAUAAUUCACGAUGUCAGCAUACCAUGGUAAUACUUUCACAUUCAUUAAUUGUUCAUCUGGAAAUGACUCAUUCAAUGGUAAUGAUUCUGUAAUUGUGUCAAAAUGGAGACGAGAGAGGUGGUCCGCAACAACAUUUUCUGUGCUUUUCUUAUCUUUGAAUUCUAAGUCAAAUUCUUACAAAAGUAACACCCAAUGAAUUAAUCUAGCUUUUGCAUCUUUCUUUGUGAGAAGAUAUUUCAGAGUAGCAUGAUCUGUGAAUAUAAUUAUUUUACAACCAAUGAGAUAAGAUCGAAAUUUUUCUAAUGCAAACACUACUGCUAGCAUUUCUUUUUCAAUAGUUGAAUAGUUCAACUGUGCAUCAUUCAAUGUCAUACUAGCAUAGUAAAUAACAUGGGGAAUUCGAUCAACUCUUUGUCCGAAUACUGCUCCUACUGCAUAAUCAGAUGCAUCACACAUGAGCUCAAAUGGUAAGCUCCAAUUUGGGGGCUGAAUAAUGGGUGAUGAUGUCAACAACUGCUUUAAUUUUUCAAAUGCCACAAGACAUGAAUCAUCAAAGACAAAAGGUACAUCCUUAGCAAGUAGAUUGCAUAAAGGUCUAGAAACUUUGCUAAAAUCUUUAAUGAAACGUCUAUAAAAACCAGCAUGCCCAAGGAAAGAUCUUACUUCUCUGACUGUUUUAGGUGGAGGAAGAUUAGAAAUGAGAUCCACCUUGGCUUUGUCAACAUCAAUACCUUUGCUCGAAAUGAUAUGACCGAGAACAAUACCUUAAUUUACCAUAAAAUGGCACUUUCCCAAUUUAAGACCAAGUUCUUUUUGAUACAUCUCUGCAGAACUAGUGUUAGAUGAUGUAAACAUUGAUCAAAUAAGUCACCAAAGACAGAAAAGUCAUCCAUAAAGACUUCAAGGAAUCAUUCAACCAUAUCAGAAAAAAUGCUUAACAUGCAUUGUUGAAAUGUAGCUGGUGCAUUACAUAAUCCAAAUAGCAUUCUCCUAUAUGCAAAAGUGCCAAAAGGGCAAGUGAAAGUAGUUUUCUCUUGAUCUUUUGGUGUUAUGGGAAUCUGAUUAUAUCCUGAGUAGCCAUCUAGAAAGCAAUAAAAUUCAUGGCCUGUCAAUCUAUCAAGCAUUUGAUCGAUAAAUGGUAAAGGAAAAUGGUCUUUACGUGUGACAGAAUUCAACUUUCUAUAAUCAAUGCAUACACGUCAUCCUGCAGUCACUCUAGUGGGUAUCAAUUCAUUAUCGUCAUUCGUAACUACUGUGACUCCUGACUUUUUGGGGACAACUUGUACAGGAUUGACCCAUGAACUAUCAGAAAUUGGGUAAAUGAUACUUGCGUCUAAUAGCUUAAGGACUUCCGUUCUAACAACUUCUUUCAUAUUAGGAUUUAACCGACAUUGCAUUUCCCUAGUAGAUUUAGCAUUUUCAUCAAGGUGAAUGUAAUGCAUGCAGUCUACUGGGUUUAUACCUUUAAUGUCUACUAUGGUCCAUCCUAAUGCUCCUUUGUGCUCUUUUAAAACAUCCAACAACUUACCUUUUUGUUCGUCAUUUAGGGAUGAUGAGAUGAUUACCGGUAGAGUACUUUCUUCUCCCAAAAAUGCAUAUUCCAAUGUGUUGGGCAAUGGUUUGAGUUCGAAUUUUGGUGGUGAUUCUGAUGAUGGGAUGAGUUUCUUUUCUGAUGGUGCUACUUAUUCAACUCUUGACUUCCAUUUAUUAGUGUCCAUGGAUAGUGCUAAGUCAAGUAGGGCAUUGACCUCAUCGACCGAUCUGUCAAUAUCAAAAUCCAAACCAAAGUGAGUUAAACAUGUUUGUAAAGGAUCAUCACUAAGGUUUGAAAGAAAAGUAUUAUCAACUAUUGUUUCUAUUAAAUCCACAUCAACAAUUCCAUCAUCUGCAUUGUGAGGUUGUUUGGCAAUGUUGAAGAUGUUCAGCUCCAUAGUCAUGUUGCCAAAGGACAACUGCAUGUUUCCAGUCCUGCAUUGAAUGUGAGCAUCCGCAGUUGCCAAGAAAGGUCGGCCUAGGAUAAUGGGGACGUGCUUCCUUGAAUCUUGUAUUGGUUGAGAGUCAAUUACAAUGAAAUCAACAGGAAAAUAAAACCUGUCUACCUGGAUAAGCACGUCCUCCACAAUACCACGAGGUAUUUUCGUGGACCGAUCUGCAAACUGUAACACCACUGGAGUUGGGUGUAAUUCUCCAAGUCCAAGUUUCAAAAAUACUGAGUAAGACAACAAAUUUACACUAGCUCCUAAAUCCAACAAAGUAUUCUCAAUUGUGUGGUUCCCUAUGCUACAUAAAAUAGUGGGGGAGCUUGGGUCUUUGCAUUUUAGAGGAAUUUUGUAUUGGAGGAUAGAACUAAGGUUUUCUGUUAAAAAUGCCUUCUUUUGAACAUGAAUGUUUCUCUUUUUAGUACAAAGGUCUUUAAGAAACUUGGCAUAAGAUGGAACUUGUUUUAUAGCAUUAAGUAAAGGGAUGUUAACACUUACCUGUUUGAAGAUUUCGAGAAUCUCACCUGUGGAUUUUCCCUUCUUUCCUUUCGCUAACCUCUGAGGAAAUGGAGCUUUGGGAACGUAUUCUCGUGGGUUAGUUUCUUCUCUCUCUUCCGGUGAUGAGUCCUCAACACUCACAAGUACAAUUUGAUUUUCUUUUGUCACCGGCAUCUCCACUUUGCUGUCGACUUCUUUUCCUUUUCGCAAGGUCAUGACUACUUUGACCUCUCCAUGCUGUUGUGAUGAACUGGUACUUACUUCAUGCACUCCUUUAGGAUUAGGCACUGGUUGACUUGGAAACUUGCCUUUCUCAACGGUCAUUGCCAAGGUCUGAACUGAAGAAACAAGUUGUCCCACCAUCUUCUCGAGGCUUGAAACUGAUUGGGCUUGUGAGUUGAAGCCUGCUCUCAACUCAUUUCGUAGUCCAUCAAUGGUGUGGUUCUGUUGCUCAAUCGUGGAGUGAGUAACAUUCUUGAAAUUCUGAAAUGAAUCCUCCCAUGGUUUGGGCUGAGUGUAUUUCUGGUUCUGAUUGUAUGGUCUAAAUGGGGGUUGAGAGGCUUGAGAAAUUUGAGAAAUUUGUUGCAUUGGUGGAGCUGGAGCUGCUGGUCCAUUCUGUUGGAAUCCUUGAGACCAUGAAAAAUUAAGGUGGUCUCUCCAUCCAGGAUUAUAUGUGUUGGAGUAUGGGUUGUAAUUUGAUGGUUUUCUCAUUACACCUAUGGCAUUGGCUUGAUCUGAGUAUGAGUCAAGGUCAUGUGGUUCAGUUGAUUUAGCAGUCGAUAACGAUGCUAUUUGUCGAGCAAGUCCUUCAACCAUCUCCUUGACUUCUUUGAUUCCCGAAGUGGAUUCACCAAUGUGAACCUCAUUUACUCCCUUAAUUCUUCUAGUAUUCCUGAGUGACCGACUCCGUUGUUGGGAAUUAUCUACUUGUCGCUGGAAGAAUUCCCAAAUCUCUGAUGCACUUUUUGACAUUAGCUCUCCUCUACUUGUUGCCAUUAGUCAUUCUUGCACAUUCGGCAAUAAUUCCUCCAAAAAGUAUUGGCAUUGGUGCCAUUUCUCAUACCCAUGAUGUGGACACUUCAAGAGUAGCCCAUUGAAUCGCUCUCAUGUUUCGAAAAACUGCUCGUCCUCUCUCUGGGUAAACUCCGAGAUUUCCCUGCGAAUAGAAUUGGUUUUAUGCACUGGGAAAUAUUUAUUCAAAAAUUUUGUUACCAUUUGUUCCCAUGAUGUAAUGCUAUUAACAGGCAAAGUAUUUAACCAUGAACGAGCUCUAUCCUUUAAAGAAAAUAGGAAUAAUCUAAGUUUAACAUCAUCGUCUGAAAAAUUCUCAUAUUUAAAUGUUUGACAAAUAGCAUGAAAAUCAUUAAGAUGAUUAUAUGGGUCCUCAUUUUCUAAGCCAUAGAAUGUGGGGAGACAAUUUAGCACACUAGAUUUUAGUUCAAAGCUCCUAGCAGCUACAUUUAGGUAUCUUAUACAUGAUGUGCUCAAAUUAGCUAAGGGACUAAAAUAGUCCUUAAAUAGCCUCUCCUGUGGUGCUUGUAAAUCCAUUCCAAAUUUAUUUUUAACGUGCUUGUGUGUGCAAAAUGUUUUUUCUAGUUCAAGGUCUAUAGGUUCAAGAUUAGAUAAUAAUGACCUACGACCAUGCAUGCAAAACAAAUAAAAUAAAAAUAAAGAUGGGAACAAAACAAAUAAAAAUAAAGAAGAGGGAGAAAUUACGAUACUAAACUUAUUGCGCUAUUACAACCUUACUAUAAAAACACACUAAAAAAAAUACGUGAAAAUAAAUUAACUAAAAAUAAAUUAAUAAGAUAAACAAAAAAAAAUCUACAAAGAAAAAUAAAUUGAAAAUUAAAUUACAGAAUUUUAAAGAAGACAAAAAGAAAAGAAAUACUAACCUUUAAAUGUAGAUUCACAUUUUUUUCUUUUUUUUAAAAAAAAUACAAGAAAAUAAUUAAAUGGAAUUAUUCAUAAAAAUUAAUUUUAUGAAUUAAAAUUACUUACCUCCCCGGCAACGGCGCCAAAAACUUGUUGUGCAAAUUUUAAUGUACUCGCAAGUGUAUGAAUCUAUUGUAGAAUAGACUAAUGGUGACGAGUGUCGAUCCCACGAGGAGGUGGAUUUUAAUUAUGUAUAGAAUUAUUUUUGUAAAUGGGUGGUUGGAUUUGUGGUGGAAAUGAUUUGGAAUAUACUAAAACUUAAAUUAAAAUGGCAAGAAUAAAUUCUAAAAUUAGAAUUGAAAUGGCGAGAAUAAAUUGAAGAAAAUUCUAUUGAAAUGACGUACUUUGGUAUCUAGAUCCGUAUCAACAUGCACCAUGGGCUAAAUAUUUCUUAUUAAUACCAAUUAAAUCAUGAGGGGGGAUCCACACCUCAUGAACCACACUCUAAUCAAUAUGGUGCUAAGGGCUUAUCAUGCCAAAUAAUAAUAACCUUAUACUAGAGAGCUGGUGUAACCAAGGCGGUAUCUAGACAAGAUUAUUAUUAUUUGUCGAUGAGAAGUCAAAACAUCCAUAAAAAUUAGAGGGGAAGAGAAAAUAAAUUUACCAAAUUAAGCCCAUGACACAUGUUGAGACUUCACCUUUAACCCAAGCUUGAAAGAAAAUUAGCUACUCAUAAUUGAACUAGGGGCAAAAUAAAAAUUUAUUAAAAUACAUAGAAAAUACAAGAUGGAGAAGGAAUUACAGAAAAUGGAUCCCAAAAAUAGAUUCAGAGAUAUCAAAUUAGGGGGGAGAGACCCCCUUUUUAUAGAUACAUAGAGUAAAUCAUGGCCAUCGGAUUAAAAACAGUUUGGACGCUCAGGAUUGCGCCACUUCAUCAGUCAACAGUACCGCAGUUUGGUUGAAAAUAAUCAUGUGUGAUGCAUGUACCGUACGCGAGAUUUUUGGUCCACUGAUAUGCUGCCACGUCACCAUCAACAGUACAUAAGAAUUUUAGUCCAACAGGAUCGUGACACCUCAUCAGUCAAUGCCACAUCAUCGGUCAAUGCCACGUCAUCGAUCCGUCUAUGUGAACAGUGUCAUGAACAGUAACGUAAACAGUACCAUACACGUGAAUAGUUCCGUACAUGUGAACAGUGCCAUUUUUCCUUUUAUGCUCCUCCUAAGAUUUUCGACCGUCCUGAGUUCAAAAGUGAUGUUUGUUUUGCCGUCUGAUCUCUCCUUUAUUAUGAAAUGACUAUAAUGCCCCUAAAAUACAUAAAAUACUUAAUUAAAAUAAAACACACGUAAUUAAAUCACAAGAAGGUUAAAUACAUAAAAGUAAGGGUUGUUAGUAAGACUUGAAAUGUAAAAUGACGGUUUUCUCCUUUAUAAAUAUGCAUUUUCUAACACUCAACAACAACAACAAUAAUGUCAUCCUAUUAGUACGUCAAUUCACAUAAUAGCGUAUCUAUAUAUAAUUACGGCAUCAAGAAAGUCAUUAACUGAAUAAGAUUUUUUUAUUAUUCUUUAUGUUAAAAUGAAAUUAAUGUAUACAUAUUAAUUAUAAAUUUG